AUACUUACCUGGCAGGGGAGAUACCAUGAUCAAGCAGGUGGUUUUCCCAGGGCGAGGCUCCUCCAUUGCACUUGGGAGGUGCUGACCCCUGCGAUUUCCCCAAAUGUGGGAAACUCGACUGCAUAAUUUGUGGUAGUGGGGGACUGCGUUCGCGCUUUCCCCUG
rnacentral:snRNA from 1 species